rnacentral:rRNA from 1 species
CCUACGGGCGGCAGCAGUCGAGAAUCAUUCACAAUGGGGGAAACCCUGAUGGUGCGACGCCGCGUGGGGGAAUGAAGGUCUUCGGAUUGUAAACCCCUGUCAUGUGGGAGCAAAUUAAAAAGAUAGUACCACAAGAGGAAGAGACGGCUAACUCUGUGCCAGCAGCCGCGGUAAUACAGAGGUCUCAAGCGUUGUUCGGAAUCACUGGGCGUAAAGCGUGCGUAGGCUGUUUCGUAAGUCGUGUGUGAAAGGCGCGGGCUCAACCCGCGGACGGCACAUGAUACUGGGAGACUAGAGUAAGGGAGGGGGAAACGGAAUUCUCGGUGUAGCAGUGAAAUGCGUAGAUAUCGAGAGGAACACUCGUGGCGAAGGCGGGUUCCUGGACAUUAACUGACGCUGAGGCACGAAGGCCAGGGGAGCGAAAGGGAUUAGAUACCCGAGUAGUC